UACGAAGGGGGCUAGCGUUGCUCGGAAUCACUGGGCGUAAAGGGUGCGUAGGCGGGUCUUUAAGUCCGGGGGGAAAUCCUGGAGCUCAACUCCAGAACUGCCCUUGAUACUGAAGAUCUUGAGUUCGGGAGAGGUGAGUGGAACUGCGAGUGUAGAGGUGAAAUUCGUAGAUAUUCGCAAGAACACCAGUGGCGAAGGCGGCUCACUGGCCCGAUACUGACGCUGAGGCACGAAAGCGUGGGGAGCAAACAGG
rnacentral:rRNA from 1 species